CCCUUAGAUGUUCUGGUCCGCACGCGUGCUACACUGAGUGGAUCAGCGGGUCAGGUUGCGCGAAAGUGUUUCCUAAUCUUUAAAUCCGCUCGUGAUGGGGAUUGACGGUUGCAAUUUUCCGUCAUGAACGAGGAAUACCUUGUAAGCGCGGGUCAUCAUCCCGCGCUGAAUACGUCCCUGCCCUUUGUACACACCGCCCGUCGCUCCUACCGAUUGAGUGGUCCGGUGAGGCUUUGGGAUCUGAGCGGAAAGAGCGUUUCGCUGUUUCUGCCCGGAAAACUCAGUCGAACCUUAUCAUUUAGAGGAAGGAGAAGUCGUAACA
rnacentral:rRNA from 1 species